AUGGUGUUCUGUCCUACAUGAUGAAGCUCAUUUCUGUUAACAGAAAGAAGACAGGUCAUGAGGAUUUGGGGAAAAGAGAAAUUGUGCCCAUGGCAGUUGUUUUCAUGGUUUUGAGUUAAAUCAGAGAAAAACCUGAGUGCAGUUGUCCUCAGACACAUGAUCCACUUCUUCCAUCAAAGAGGCUCCCACAGAAAUAAUGAUAUUCAUUAAAGCCUGUUCUGUUUGGCUCUAUUAAGAGUUAAAAACUUGGAGAAGGAGUACAUGCCUGGGAAACUCUGCAGACAAAUUCUUGAGUUGGAAAAUACACCCUACUAAAUUCUUGAAUACAAAAAAUAAUGCUUUAAAUUGUACUUUGGACAUGAUAUGUCCACUUUUUUGGCUCAACAAACAAACCCGAAAUUGUUUUUAGCUUUCUGCUCUGGCAUUCACAAAGUUUUGCCUAAAACCCUUGGAGAAUUGCUGAAAAAGAUUUAUUUAUGUGCAUUCUGAAGAGCAUGCCAAAAUCCUGCUGCUUCAUGUUUUUCAAGAUUCUUCUAAAUUAAAAAGUCAAAAGGUCGAUUUGGGGAUGAAGAUGGAAACCAGCACCUGCACCCCCGCGUAGAAUACGAGGGACAAACGCAACAGCAGGAAGAGGCAGUUCUCAAAACCACUGGCUCCUGGAAACCCUCCUCUGUCCUGGCUCUGGUGGCUCUGGUGGCUCCAGGCCUAUGUGGCUCUGGGUGCAUGGGGUGGCCCCCUCUCUGCCCUCCUCGGGGCCUCUGCUUUGCCCUCCCAGGGGCUCCCCCUGAACGUGGGUCCCUGGCCAGCACCUGGAGCCUGGCAUCCUCCAGGAGGAGCUGUCCUCGCUCA
rnacentral:lncRNA from 12 species